GAUGAACGCUAGCGGCAGGCUUAACACAUGCAAGUCGAGGGGUAUAGUUCUUCGGAACUAGAGACCGGCGCACGGGUGCGUAACGCGUAUGCAAUCUACCUUUUGCAGAGGGAUAGCCCAGAGAAAUUUGGAUUAAUACCUCAUAGUAUAGCAGUUUCGCAUGAAACCACUAUUAAAGUCACAACGGCAAAAGAUGAGCAUGCGUCCCAUUAGCUAGUUGGUAAGGUAACGGCUUACCAAGGCUACGAUGGGUAGGGGUCCUGAGAGGGAGAUCCCCCANACUGGUACUGAGACACGGACCAGACUCCUACGGGAGGCAGCAGUGAGGAAUAUUGGACAAUGGGCGCAAGCCUGAUCCAGCCAUGCCGCGUGCAGGAUGACGGUCCUAUGGAUUGUAAACUGCUUUUGUACAGGAAGAAACACUUCCUCGUGAGGGAGCUUGACGGUACUGUAAGAAUAAGGAUCGGCUAAACUCCGUGCCAGCAGCCG
rnacentral:rRNA from 1 species